UGCAUAUCUAAAUAAUAUGAACAAAAUAAUAUGAAAAUAAAAAAUUUGAACAUAACAGUCAAUCUUAAUAAAAAACGUUCUAUCAGGUUAAAAUUUCAAUAAACAUCCAUACAUUUAACUUUACACUUACAUGAUUGGAAAAUGAUUUGAAUAACAUAUAUCAUAUUUGAAACUUACAUUGCAGCAAUAAAAUCAGUGAAUAUCGAACCUUAUUACUUUAACCUGUUAAAAAUUUUGUGUCAAAAUGCAGUUCUAUGGUAUCUUAUAGAAAAAGAAAAUUUCAAAAUUUAAUGUAAUAUUUUCCCUCUGUUCCAUUGAUAUCAAAUCACAUUAAGACGGCCAUAUUCCAUGAGAUAAUUCAUUGCACAUUCCAGAACAAGAUUUCAAUCAUUUCAAAUAGAAUUGUCCAAACUAACAUAUACUACUACUAGUGAAGAUAUUCAGCAAGAAAAUUAUUCUAAUUUGAUUCCAGCACUGUUGCUUAUAAUUAGCCAUAUGAUUAAAAAUUCCCCAAAAAUAUACAGUUUACACUAUAUUGAACUGUGCAAUGAUUGAAACCACAGAUUUAGAACAUAAAACAACAAAUUUCCGAUAGCAGAAACUUCUCAAAUUAGAAUAAAAAUAACUUUAAAUAAUGCAUACUCAAAUUUCAUAAUUUUUCC
rnacentral:lncRNA from 1 species